rnacentral:lncRNA from 1 species
AAAUGUCCUUUUGGUCAUACAGUGUAGAAAUGGUGUUCCCAGCCCACUUUGAAAUAUGGGAUGCUAGUUGGAGACUUCAUGCUGUCUACUAAUAUACUACUAUCAGGCAACAACUAUGCCAAGAUAUCCCUGUUAUUCAAGUUCAUGAAACUGGGGAUGGUGGAAAGAUCAACAUUCUUCAGGGCUCAGGACUCCUACUGUGUGGACACUAUAAAGGAGUUCUGGAGUUAGAAGAGGGCCGCAAUCAUCACCCAGCUUCAGGCAAAAGGGCCUGUUGUCGCCUUGGGUGAUGCCCGCAUGGACAGUCCAGGUUUCUGUGCGCAAUAUUGCACAUAUUCUGUCAUGGACAAUGAUUCCAAACAGAUCGAGUCUAUUAUCAACAUUGAUAAGCGAGAGACACUGCGAAAUUCCGUAAUCAUGGAAAAGGAAGGCUUCAUACGAGCAUUUGAGACACUGCGUAAAGACCUCCAAAUCGUAGAAGUCUGCACGGAUGCUCAUACGCAAAUAUCAGCCCUCUUCAGUAAUUGUUUAUUUAUUUUAUUUUUUUGCAACAACAUCACUUGCAUUGUUAUGCUUUUAAAUUGAUUUGAUUUUUAAACUGGAUAUAUAUUCUUUGAAUUUUUUCCUACAGGCAAAGGAAAAUAUAAAGACAUUGGAGUCCAACACACACUGGACAUUUGGCAUGGGUCAAAGAGCUUGAGCAAAAAAAAUUAAUACGGUAAUUUCAUAAUCCUUCUGGGUAGUAUUAUUGCUGAAUCGCUACACAAUGUUUCCUCUCAUAUAUACAUUUGUUAUCCCAUUUUUAUUUUUUUUUGCUCUUGUUCAAGGCUGGGCAGCAAAAGGAGUGCACCAUUCUGCAGACCUGGAACAAGGAUAUCUGUAACCACUUUUGGUAUUGUUGCAAGACUGCAGAUAACCCUGAUCAAUUUUUUGACAUGUGGACUGGACUCCUCCACCAUGUGACAGGAAAACAUUCCUGGGCCUUGGGUGCCUGUCAUCAUGGCCCCUUGAUUGAAAACAGUGAGAAGGAGUUGAUCAAGAGCCAUUCAGUUGCACACCAGAAACUGUCAUUAAUUGUUUUGGAUGGACGCUGGCUGAAAAAAGUCCACAAAUAUUUAAACUUCAGGUCAACUGCAGAGCUGGAGUCCUUUCAUAAUCACAUACUCAUGUAUGCAAGCAAGCGCUUCAGCUUCUCCCCACCAGUUUACGCAGCUCGAGCAAUGCUGGCUGGCCUGGACUACAACUACCACAUCCACAGACUACCAAAGAAGAACAAUGAUGGCUCCAUUCAAUAUUGCAGGUUGCUUAAUAAAAAAUCCAAGAAGUGGAGCCUCUACACAGUAAAAGAAGACAAAGACUGCCUACAUCCCAGACCUCCAGAGUGCAAUCCUUAGGAAAAGGUUGUCUGCUGUGGGAGGGUUGCCACGGACCAUAACAAGGAGGCCUGACGAUCCCCGUCAAUAUGGGGUUCUGUCAGGUGUCCCUGCUCCAGCCACCCAGGACCUGUUGCAGAUGCAACUGAGCAGAGGGCGAGGUGAGUUGAC